GAUGAACGCUGGCGGCGUGCUUAACACAUGCAAGUCGAACGGAAAGGCUCCUGCUUGCAGGGGUACUCGAGUGGCGAACGGGUGAGUAACACGUGGUGAUCUGCCCUGCACUUCGGGAUAAGCCUGGGAAACUGGGUCUAAUACCGGAUAGGACGAUGGUUUGGAUGCCAUUGUGGAAAGUUUUUUCGGUGUGGGAUGAGCUCGCGGCCUAUCAGCUUGUUGGUGGGGUAAUGGCCUACCAAGGCGUCGACGGGUAGCCGGCCUGAGAGGGUGUACGGCCACAUUGGGACUGAGAUACGGCCCAGACUCCUACGGGAGGCAGCAGUGGGGAAUAUUGCACAAUGGGCGCAAGCCUGAUGCAGCGACGCCGCGUGGGGGAUGACGGCCUUCGGGUUGUAAACUCCUUUCGCUAGGGACGAAGCGCAAGUGACGGUACCUGGAGAAGAAGCACCGGCUAACUACGUG
rnacentral:rRNA from 1 species